rnacentral:rRNA from 1 species
GGGAAUUUUGGACAAUGGGGGCAACCCUGAUCCAGCCAUGCCGCGUGAGUGAAGAAGGCCUUCGGGUUGUAAAGCUCUUUCGGCCGGGAAGAAAUCCUAUUCGAUAAUACCGGGUGGGGAUGACGGUACCGGCAUAAGAAGCACCGGCUAACUACGUGCCAGCAGCCGCGGUAAUACGUAGGGUGCGAGCGUUAAUCGGAAUUACUGGGCGUAAAGCGUGCGCAGGCGGUCUUUUAAGCCAGAUGUGAAAUCCCCGGGCUUAACCUGGGAACUGCGUUUGGAACUGGAAGGCUAGAGUACGGCAGAGGGGGGUGGAAUUCCACGUGUAGCAGUGAAAUGCGUAGAGAUGUGGAGGAACACCGAUGGCGAAGGCAGCCCCCUGGGCCUGUACUGACGCUCAUGCACGAAAGCGUGGGGAGCAAACAG